UAUCAACGGCACCACGAGGGCCCAACUGUCUCCUCUCUCCAAUCAAUGAAACUGAUCUCUCCGUGAAGAAGCGGAGAUUUAACUAUAAGACGAGAAGACCCCAUGGAGCUUUAAACCUGACUACACCCUUAUCUAUUAUACCCCCUUAAUCAACAGGACCCUGUCUGUCAGUUUUAGGUUGGGGUGACCACGGAGCACAAAUAAACCUCCAUGAUGAACUGGACUAACCCAUUAUCUAAGAAAAACACCUCAAAGAAUUAGCACACUAACAUAAAAUGAUCCGACACUCGAUCAACGAACCAAGUUACCCUGGGGAUAACAGCGCAAUCUACUUCAAGAGCCCAUAUCGACAAGUGGGUUUACGACCUCGAUGUUGGAUCAGGGUAUCCUAGUGGUGCAGCAGCUACUAAAGGUUCGUUUGUUCAACGAUUAAAACCCU
rnacentral:rRNA from 1 species